rnacentral:rRNA from 1 species
GACGAACGCUGGCGGCGUGCUUAACACAUGCAAGUCGAACGAAGUGGCGAACGGGUGAGUAACGCGUAAUCAACCUGCCCUUCAGAGGGGGACAACAGUUGGAAAAGACUGCUAAUACCGCAUACUGAAGGAGGGGAUUGCGUCUGAUUAGUUAGUGGGGGGGGUAAAGGCCCACCAAGGCGAUGAUCAGUGGCCGGUCUGGUGGGAUGAACGGCCAAAUUGGGACUGAGACACGGCCCAGACUCCUACGGGGUGCAGCAGUGGGGAAUCUUUCGAAAUGGACGAAAGUCUGACGGAGCAACGCCGCGUGAGUGAUGACGGCCUUCGGGUUGUAAAGCUCUGUUAAUCGGGACGCGGUACCGGAAUAGAAAGCCACGGCUAACUACGUGCCAGCAGCCGCGGUAAUUC